CAGAACGAACGCUGGCGGCAUGCCUAACACAUGCAAGUCGAACGAGAUCUUCGGAUCUAGUGGCGCACGGGUGCGUAACGCGUGGGAAUCUGCCCUUGGGUUCGGAAUAACAGUGAGAAAUUACUGCUAAUACCGGAUGAUGUCUUCGGACCAAAGAUUUAUUGCCCAAGGAUGAGCCCGCGUAGGAUUAGCUAGUUGGUGGGGUAAUGGCCUACCAAGGCGACGAUCCUUAGCUGGUCUGAGAGGAUGAUCAGCCACACUGGGACUGAGACACGGCCCAGACUCCUACGGGAGGCAGCAGUGGGGAAUAUUGGACAAUGGGCGAAAGCCUGAUCCAGCAAUGCCGCGUGAGUGAUGAAGGCCUUAGGGUUGUAAAGCUCUUUUACCAGGGAUGAUAAUGACAGUACCUGGAGAAUAAGCUCCGGCUAACUCCGUGCCAGCAGCCGCGGUAAUACGGAGGGAGCUAGCGUUGUUCGGAAUUACUGGGCGUAAAGCGCGCGUAGGCGGUUACUCAAGUCAGAGGUGAAAGCCCGGGGCUCAACCCCGGAACUGCCUUUGAAACUAGGUGACUAGAAUCUAGGAGAGGUCAGUGGAAUUCCGAGUGUAGAGGUGAAAUUCGUAGAUAUUCGGAAGAACACCAGUGGCGAAGGCGACUGACUGG
rnacentral:rRNA from 1 species